GACGAACGCUGGCGGCGCGCCUAACACAUGCAAGUCGAACGGAGCUUAGAGAGCUUGCUUUUUAAGCUUAGUGGCGAACGGGUGAGUAACGCGUGAGUAACCUGCCCUAGAGUGGGGGACAACAGUUGGAAACGACUGCUAAUACCGCAUAAGCCCACGGUACCGCAUGGCACUGAGGGAAAAGGAUUUAUUCGCUUUAGGAUGGACUCGCGUCCAAUUAGCUAGUUGGUGAGGUAACGGCCCACCAAGGCGACGAUUGGUAGCCGGACUGAGAGGUUGAACGGCCACAUUGGGACUGAGACACGGCCCAGACUCCUACGGGAGGCAGCAGUGGGGGAUAUUGCACAAUGGGGGAAACCCUGAUGCAGCGACGCCGCGUGGAGGAAGAAGGUUUUCGGAUUGUAAACUCCUGUCGUUAGGGACGAUAAUGACGGUACCUAACAAGAAAGCACCGGCUAACUACGUGCCAGCAGCCGCGGUAAAACGUAGGGUGCAAGCGUUGUCCGGAAUUACUGGGUGUAAAGGGAGCGCAGGCGGGAAGACAAGUUGGAAGUGGAAACCAUGGGCUCAACCCAUGAAUUGCUUUCAAAACUGUUUUUUCUUGAGUAGUGCAGAGGUAGAUGGAAUUCCCGGUGUAGCGGUGGAAUGCGUAGAUAUCGGGAGGAACACCAGUGGCGAAGGCGGUCUACUGGGCACCAACUGACGCUGAGGCUCGAAAGCAUGGGUAGCAAACAGGAUUAGAUACCCUGGUAGUUCAUGCCGUAAACGAUGAUUACUAGGUGUUGGGGGAUUGACCCCCUCAGUGCCGCAGUUAACACAAUAAGUAAUCCACCUGGGGAGUACGACCGCAAGGUUGAAACUCAAAGGAAUUGACGGGGGCCCGCACAAGCAGUGGAGUAUGUGGUUUAAUUCGAAGCAACGCGAAGAACCUUACCAGGUCUUGACAUCCGAUGCAUAGCACAGAGAUGUGUGAAAUCCUUCGGGACAUCGAGACAGGUGGUGCAUGGUUGUCGUCAGCUCGUGUCGUGAGAUGUUGGGUUAAGUCCCGCAACGAGCGCAACCCUUAUUGCCAGUUACUACGUUAAGAGGACUCUGGCGAGACUGCCGUUGACAAAACGGAGGAAGGUGGGGAUGACGUCAAAUCAUCAUGCCCUUUAUGACCUGGGCUACACACGUACUACAAUGGCGUUAAACAAAGAGAAGCAAGACCGCGAGGUGGAGCAAAACUCAAAAACUACGUCUCAGUUCAGAUUGCAGGCUGCAACUCGCCUGCAUGAAGUCGGAAAUUGCUAGUAAUCGCGGAUCAGCUUGCCGCGGUGAAUACGUUUCCCCGGGCCUU
rnacentral:rRNA from 1 species